CGGGGCGUAGCUCAGUUUGGCCAGAGCGCUUGCUUGGGGUGCAAGAGGUCGCUGGUUCAAGUCCAGUCGCUCCGACCA
rnacentral:tRNA from 1 species